rnacentral:rRNA from 1 species
UUGGGAAAUCGACGCGCUCAACGCGUCGGCGUCCAGCGGAAACUGUCCGGCUUGGGGCCGGAAGACCUGAGGGGUACGUCCGGGGUAGGAGUGAAAUCCUGUAAUCCUGGACGGACCACCAAUGGGGAAACCACCUCAGGAAGACGGACCCGACGGUGAGGGACGAAAGCUAGGGUCUCGAACCGGAUUAGAUACCCGGGUAGUCCUAGCUGUAAACGAUGCUCGCUAGGUGUGCCGUAGGUUACGAGCCUGCGCUGCGCCCUAGGGAAGCCGAGAAGCGAGCCGCCUGGGAAGUACGUCUGCAAGGAUGAAACUUAAAGGAAUUGGCGGGGGAGCACCACAACCGGAGGAGCCUGCGGUUUAAUUGGACUCAACGCCGGACAUCUCACCGGUCCCGACAGUAGUAAUGACGGUCAGGUUGACGACUUUACCCGACGCUACUGAGAGGAGGUGCAUGGCCGCCGUCAGCUCGUACCGUGAGGCGUCCUGUUAAGUCAGGCAACGAGCGAGACCCGCACUUCUAGUUGCCAGCAAUACCCUUGAGGUAGUUGGGUACACUAGGAGGACUGCCGCUGCUAAAGCGGAGGAAGGAACGGGCAACGGUAGGUCAGUAUGCCCCGAAUGGACCGGGCAACACGCGGGCUACAAUGGCUCUGACAGUGGGAUGCAACGCCGAGAGGCGAAGCUAAUCUCCAAACGGAGUCGUAGUUCGGAUUGCGGGCUGAACCCGCCCGCAUGAAGCUG